AACGAACGCUGGCGGCAUGCCUAACACAUGCAAGUCGAACGAGAUCUUCGGGUCUAGUGGCGCACGGGUGCGUAACGCGUGGGAAUCUGCCCUUUGGUUCGGAAUAACAGUUGGAAACGACUGCUAAUACCGGAUGAUGACGAAAGUCCAAAGAUUUAUCGCCAGAGGAUGAGCCCGCGUAGGAUUAGCUAGUUGGUGUGGUAAAGGCGAACCAAGGCGACGAUGCUUAGCUGGUCUGAGAGGAUGAUCAGCCACACUGGGACUGAGACACGGCCCAGACUCCUACGGGAGGCAGCAGUGGGGAAUAUUGGACAAUGGGCGAAAGCCUGAUCCAGCAAUGCCGCGUGAGUGAUGAAGGCCUUAGGGUUGUAAAGCUCUUUUACCCGGGAUGAUAAUGACAGUACCGGGAGAAUAAGCUCCGGCUAACUCCGUGCCAGCAGCCGCAGUAACAC
rnacentral:rRNA from 1 species